UACGAAGGGGGCUAGCGUUGCUCGGAAUUAUUGGGCGUAAAGAGCGCGCAGGCGGUCGUGCAAGUCGCGUGUGAAAGCCCCCGGCUCAACUGGGGAGGGUCACGCGAUACUGCUCGACUUGAAGGCAGGAGAGGGAAGUGGAAUUCCCGGUGUAGUGGUGAAAUGCGUAGAUAUCGGGAGGAACACCAGUGGCGAAGGCGACUUCCUGGCCUGUUCUUGACGCUGAGGCGCGAAAGCUAGGGUAGCAAACGGG
rnacentral:rRNA from 1 species